rnacentral:rRNA from 1 species
GACGAACGCUGGCGGCGUGCUUAACACAUGCAAGUCGAACGGAAAGGCCCUGCUUUUGUGGGGUGCUCGAGUGGCGAACGGGUGAGUAACACGUGAGUAACCUGCCCUUGACUUUGGGAUAACUUCAGGAAACUGGGGCUAAUACCGGAUAGGAGCUCCUGCUGCAUGGUGGGGGUUGGAAAGUUUCGGCGGUUGGGGAUGGACUCGCGGCUUAUCAGCUUGUUGGUGGGGUAGUGGCUUACCAAGGCUUUGACGGGUAGCCGGCCUGAGAGGGUGACCGGCAACAUGGGGAUGGGGAUACGGCCCAGACUCCACGGGAGGCAGCAGUGGGGAAUAUUGCACAAUGGGCGGAAGCCUGAUGCAGCAACGCCGCGUGCGGGAUGACGGCCUUCGGGUUGUAAACCGCUUUCGCCUGUGACGAAGCGUGAGUGACGGUAAUGGGUAAAGAAGCACCGGCUAACUACGUG